rfam:Schistosoma mansoni, Puerto Rico, WGS project CABG01000000 data, contig: 1006
ACCCAGCUGACGAGCCCCAAAUAGGACGAAACGCGAGUCCUGGAU